rnacentral:rRNA from 1 species
GAUGAACGCUGGCGGCGUGCCUAAUACAUGCAAGUCGAGCGAACAGAUGAGGAGCUUGCUCCUCUGACGUUAGCGGCGGACGGGUGAGUAACACGUGGAUAACCUACCUAUAAGACUGGGAUAACUUCGGGAAACCGGAGCUAAUACCGGAUAAUAUAUUGAACCGCAUGGUUCAAUAGUGAAAGACGGUUUUGCUGUCACUUAUAGAUGGAUCCGCGCCGCAUUAGCUAGUUGGUAAGGUAACGGCUUACCAAGGCAACGAUGCGUAGCCGACCUGAGAGGGUGAUCGGCCACACUGGAACUGAGACACGGUCCAGACUCCUACGGGAGGCAGGAGUAGGGAAUCUUCCGCAAUGGGCGAAAGCCUGACGGAGCAACGCCGCGUGAGUGAUGAAGGUCUUCGGAUCGUAAAACUCUGUUAUUAGGGAAGAACAAAUGUGUAAGUAACUAUGCACGUCUGGACGGUACCUAAUCAGAAAGCCACGGCUAACUACGU